rnacentral:rRNA from 1 species
UACGAAGGGGGCUAGCGUUGCUCGGAAUGACUGGGCGUAAAGGGCGCGUAGGCGGUUUGUACAGUCAGGUGUGAAAUCCCCGGGCUCAACCCGGGAACUGCGUCCGAUACUGGCAGGCUUGAAUCCGGGAGAGGGAUGCGGAAUUCCAGGUGUAGCGGUGAAAUGCGUAGAUAUCUGGAGGAACACCGGUGGCGAAGGCGGCAUCCUGGACCGGUAUUGACGCUGAGGCGCGAAAGCCAGGGGAGCAAACGGG